GGUUGGUCCGAGUGCGGUGCUGUUUACAACGAAUCCGUCACAACCGGUUACAGAUUCCUUCGUUCCUUCUCCACCCCCACUGCUUCACCUGACCAGCCUAAA
rnacentral:Y_RNA from 1 species